rnacentral:rRNA from 1 species
GACGAACGCUGGCGGCGUGCUUAAUACAUGCAAGUCGAACGCAGGGGGGACGGGUGAGUAACACGUGGGUAACCUCCCAUCAGAGGGGAGAACACUUGGCAACAGGUGCUAAAACGAUAUUGAUGGAUGGACCCGGGGUGCAUUAGCUAGUUGGUGAGGUAACGGCUCACCAAGGCCACGAUGCAUAGCCGACCUGAGAGGGUGAACGGCCACACUGGAACUGAGACACGGCCCAGACUCCUACGGGAGGCAGCAGUAGGGAAUCUUCGGCAAUGGACGAAAGUCUGACCGAGCAACGCCGCGUGAGUGAAGAAGGUUUUCGGAUCGUAAAACUCUGUUGUUAGAGAAGCGGUAUCUAACCAGAAAGCCACGGCUAACUACGUGCCAGCCGCCGCGGUAAUUC